AGAAAAGAAAAUUGUUGUGGUGUCAUUUGAUGAGUGGGUUUGUUGACGAUCUUAUCGAAAUAUGGUGCAGCCUGAAAGGACCACGAGCAGACGGCACAUAUUGGUCAAAUGAUGUAUGAUUAUACAAAGCAAUUUCACAGAUGAACGCUUCAUGAUUUUAUUACAUCCUCUUAAUUGGCUUAUUUUCAGUGAAUAAACCUUUUAAGCUCAGGUGUGAAUCAUCUUCAAUUAUAGACUAAAUAAAUAAUAUAUGAAGAGACUGUAAAACAAAACUGCAGAGAGUUCAUUUGUUUAUUUACUUGUACAGUGUAAUAUACAGCAAGCUUCAAGGGAGGCGAAUUUUCAAAACAUCCAGCUACUGACAUCCAUGAUACAACCAGGGAUGACUUGACUGGGUGAAAAGUAUAGGUUAUCGUGCAAUUCAUUGCUUGCCCAUCCCCCAAGUCUUCUUCAACAUCCUCAUUCUCGAUCUUCUAGUCCUUUUUAC
rnacentral:lncRNA from 1 species